UACAGAGGUCUCAAGCGUUGUUCGGAUUCAUUGGGCGUAAAGGGUGCGUAGGCGGCGCCGUAAGUCAGGUGUGAAAUUUCGGAGCUUAACUCCGGAACUGCAUUUGAUACUGCGGUGCUUGAGGACUGGAGAGGAGACUGGAAUUUACGGUGUAGCAGUGAAAUGCGUAGAGAUCGUAAGGAAGACCAGUGGCGAAGGCGGGUCUCUGGACAGUUCCUGACGCUGAGGCACGAAGGCCAGGGGAGCAAACGGG
rnacentral:rRNA from 1 species